rnacentral:rRNA from 1 species
UUGGCUCUCGCAUCGAUGAAGAACGCAGCGAAAUGCGAUAAGUAAUGUGAAUUGCAGAUUUCAGUGAAUCAUCGAAUCUUUGAACGCACCUUGCACUCUUUGGUAUUCCGAAGAGUAUGCCUGUUUGAGUGUCAUUAAAUUCUCAAACCUCACAAGUUUUGCGACUUUGUUGAGGCUUUGGAUGUGGGAGUUGCUGGCUUUCACGAGUCAGCUCUCCUUAAAUGCAUUAGUGGUUACUGUUCACUACAUCCUGGUGUGAUAAUAUCUACGCCUAGUAGUGAUGUUAAGUGUAGCUGCUUAUAACCGUCCAUUAGCUUGGACAAUUUGAACCAUUUGACCUCAAAUCAGGUAGGACUACCCGCUGAACUUAAGCAUAUCAAUAAGCGGAGGAAAAGAAACU